ensembl:lncRNA
CAGGCUGUAAAUCUGUUUUAUUGAGCAGUAUUUUAGGCACUGGGUCUUUGUCAUUAGCGUACAUUUGCAGUCUGUAAUGCAUGCUCCUCUGGAAACAGCCUGGCACUGAACAGCGCCCUCCAUCAUACAAACUGGACACCUUAUGUAUUAGUUCAAGAUCAUCUGAAAGAUGUUGCACAAGAACUCGGACGCUGUCAUGUUUCUCGAGCUCAGGUGAUCCGUCACAAGGAAGAAAGCACCGGCAGUUUCUGUCCGUCUCCUGUAGAGGAGCAGAACCUGAGGUGGCACAGCCAUGGAAAAUGAUGCACGGCAGGAAAAUCAGCCAUUUGGCUCUGAGGAGAACAGAAAAGGGCUGAUUAUGUGGUAGAUCUGCACUACAUGAUUGCUUAUUUAAUAAAUUUAUUGUUUUCUGUGAGUGGAUUCAGGAUUUUUCUCUGAUGAUUUGUGUUUGUUGUUGCUAUGAGCUUCUGAGUGUAUCCUAAAUAAAUGAAAAGUAAGAAUGCCACUAAAUUUCUGUAAUUUAAUAUAGCAACUUAAACUUGAAGAAAACCCCUUUUUUCUGGACUUAUUUUCUGUUUUUUUUUUUUUUCUAUUCUUUAUUUCUUUGUCUUGUUUUAUAAUGCGUGUCUGUUGUAUGGCGAACAAAUUUUCAAUUCUGUAUCAGAAUACCAGAAUCUGAACGGUUUAAUAAAGCGCUUGCUUUAAAAGAAAACUACACCACCCAGAAUGCAUUGCGCACUGACGUCAUUCAUAUCACGAGAUGCCUAAAAGUUUUCUUAGUUAGAAGAAGAAAGUUUUCUUAGUUAGCUAAUUUGUGUUUUGACAUGUCAAAACAGAAAUAAACGUACUGCCAAAAUAAGAAACACACAACCUGUUUCUGAGCUAUAUUUAAAACAUGCUUACCGGUUAAUUACCGGUGAAGUCAUGGUUGCGGCGCGCUUAAAUGUGGAAGGUUUCCAACUCUAGCUAAACACUUUACACUGGGUUUUGGUUCAGCAAAACGCAAACCGAAGCUAGAAUGCCAGAAAGUUCAAUCCCGGUAUAAAUAACUGUACGAUUGUAUCAAUCCUCAACACGUGCGUGUGUAAAGAGCAUGGUAGCUACAGAGUCGCGAGGACGUUCUCUUCCUCUUCUUAUUGUAAUAAAUGGCUCUUCACUCUCAGGAGCAUUAACUCCACACACCGUGUGUUGUUACCUAUAUACUGUUGCCUAUAUCUUACAACAUGUAGUGUAGACGACGAAAUGAAACGCGAGUUUAGUAGAUUUACUACCGGAAAAUGAAUGAACUGGGUUUGCGCACGUGACGAGAUCAGCCAUAGAUCUGCAUAGAUUCCCCAUAGACCUUCUUUUUUAUGACAAAACACUUAACAAGCACAUAACCACAGCAACCUCAAAAACAAUAGAGGACAAAAUACAAAAACAUAAUACAAUAUACAAGAUAGAAAGUAAAAUAAUAAUAAUUCUAAAAAAGAAACUAUAUAUAUCAUAAACCAGAAGGGGGAAAU